rnacentral:tRNA from 1 species
UUCCCUAGUGCUCAGAUGGUAAAGAAUCUGCCUGCAAAGCAGAAGACCCAAGUUUAAUCUCUGGGUUGGGAAG